GGCUGGUCCUAAGGUAGUGAGUUAUCUCACGUGAUUGUUCACAGUCAGUUACAGAUUGAACUCCUUGUUCUACUACUUCUCCCCCUCCUCACUACUGCACUUGACUAGUCUUAA
rnacentral:Y_RNA from 1 species